CCUACGGGAGGCAGCAGUGGGGAAUAUUGCACAAUGGGGGAAACCCUGAUGCAGCGACGCCGCGUGAGUGAGGAAGUAUUUCGGUAUGUAAAGCUCUAUCAGCAGGGAAGAAAAUGACGGUACCUGACUAAGAAGCCCCGGCUAACUACGUGCCAGCAGCCGCGGUAAUACGUAGGGGGCAAGCGGUAUCCGGAUUUACUGGGUGUAAAGGGAGCGUAGACGGAAUAGCAAGUCUGAUGUGAAAACCCGGGGCUCAACGCCGGGAGUGCAUUGGAAACUGUUGAUCUAGAGUGCAGGAGAGGUAAGCGGAAUUCCUAGUGUAGCGGUGAAAUGCGUAGAUAUUAGGAGGAACACCAGUGGCGAAGGCGGCUGGCUGGACGGUGACUGACGUUGAGGCUCGAAAGCGUGGGGAGCAAACAGGAUUAGAUACCCCGGUAGUC
rnacentral:rRNA from 1 species